UGUAAAGAGAGGUAUUACUGAAUUCUAAAACUGGGCUGAUACACAGAAGAUUAGUAUGGCCCAGGAUCAGAAUGACAUACAAAUUCAUGAAGUGUUAUGUAUUUUU
rnacentral:snRNA from 1 species